AGGUAUAUGUAACCCAUCAGUGAUCCCAGGAGCAUGAAGCUAGUAAAAGACACAUUUUUACUGCAUAAAACAUUAAAACUUUGUACAAUAAAAACAAGGACAAGGAAUCAAGAUGGUGGAAUGGUGAGAGGCCACAAAUUUCAGCCUUUCUGAGACUGAGAAUCCAGAUACUGGAAAAUAACAACUUGAGGAAGAAAAAAAGAGAAGCGGGUUGCUGGGAAUUGGGAAGGAACUGACAGGAAAAUUAAGAGCAACAGAGAAGUUCAAGAGACAGACCACAAUUCAUAGAAGGAAAAUGAAACAGUCUGGAUGCUCUCCCUGGCUCCUGGUUCUCAGCUCAAUGGGAGGGGAGCCUGGUUCUGCAGAAGCAAGCACAGAUCUGGGGUCUGACUGCCUUCCUUCCCUAGCUGCACAAGCAAGGACAAGUCUCAGCCUGGACACUGCCACUACCUGGGGUAAGCAGAGGGAAUGGAGGAAAGAGCAAAGCAAACCAUGAAAUGCUGCACUCCAAAACCACAG